rnacentral:rRNA from 1 species
UAGGUGUUAGUGAAUUUUUUCACUAGUGCCGAAGCUAACGCAUUAAGUAUACCGCCUGGGGAGUACGCCCGCAAGGGUGAAACUCAAAGAAAUUGACGGGGGCCCGCACAAGCGGUGGAGCAUGUGGUUUAAUUCGAUGAUACGCGAAGAACCUUACCUGGGCUUGAACUGCAUCUGACAGGUGUAGAGAUACACCCUCCUUCGGGCAGGUGCAGAGGUGCUGCAUGGUUGUCGUCAGCUCGUGUCGUGAGAUGUUGGGUUAAGUCCCGCAACGAGCGCAACCCUUACCCCUUGUUGCUAACAGGUAACGCUGAGCACUCUAGGGGGACUGCCGGUGAUAAACCGGAGGAAGGUGGGGAUGACGUCAAAUCAUCACGGCCCUUAUGUCCAGGGCUACACACGUGCUACAAUGGCCGGUACAAAGAGUUGCGAUGCCGCGAGGUGGAGCCAAUCUCAAAAAACCGGUCUCAGUUCGGAUUGUAGUCUGCAACUCGACUGCAUGAAGCUGGAAUCGCUAGUAAUCGUAGAUCAGCACGCUACGGUGAAUACGUUCCCGGGCCUUGUACACACCGCCCGUCACACCACCCGAGUUAGCAGCACCCGAAGUGGCUGAUCUAACCCGCAAGGGAAGAAGGUUACUAAGGUGAAGCUGGUGAGGGGGGUGAAGUCGUAACAAGGUAGCCGUAUCGGAAGGUGCGGCUU